rnacentral:rRNA from 1 species
UACGGGGGGGGCAAGCGUUGUUCGGAUUUACUGGGCGUAAAGGGCGCGUAGGCGGCCAGCACAAGUCAGUUGUGAAAUCUCCGAGCUUAACUCGGAACGGUCAACUGAUACUGUGCGGCUAGAGUGCGGAAGGGGCAACUGGAAUUCUUGGUGUAGCGGUGAGAUGCGUAGAUAUCAAGAGGAACACCUGCGGCGAAGGCGGGUUGCUGGGCCGACACUGACGCUGAGGCGCGAAAGCGUGGGGAGCAAACAGG